AGGCCCCCCCGUAGAGUUUGAAUCUGGCUCAGAUUGAACGCUGGCGGCAGGCCUAACACAUGCAAGUCGAGCGGAAACGGCAGUAUUGAAGCUUCGGUGGAUAUACUGGACGUCGAGCGGCGGACGGGUGAGUAACGGCUGGGAACCUGCCGUGACGAGCGGGAUAACCGUCGGAAACGACGGCUAAUACCGCAUAAUGUGUACGGACCAAAGGUGGCCUCUACAUGUAAGCUAUCGCGUUGGGAUGGGCCCAGUUAGGAUUAGCUAGUUGGUAAGGUAAUGGCUUACCAAGGCGACGAUCCUUAGCUGGUUUGAGAGGAUGAUCAGCCACACUGGGACUGAGACACGGCCCAGACUCCUACGGGAGGCAGCAGUGGGGAAUAUUGCACAAUGGGGGAGACCCUGAUGCAGCCAUGCCGCGUGUGUGAAGAAGGCCUUCGGGUUGUAAAGCACUUUCAGCAGUGAGGAAGGUAGUGUACUUAAUACGUGCAUUGCUUGACGUUAGCUGCAGAAGAAGCACCGGCUAACUCCGUGCCAGCAGCCGCGGUAAUACGGAGGGUGCGAGCGUUAAUCGGAAUUACUGGGCGUAAAGCGCAUGCAGGCGGUUUGUUAAGUCAGAUGUGAAAGCCCGGGGCUCAACCUCGGAACCGCAUUUGAAACUGGCAGGCUAGAGUCUUGUAGAGGGGGGUAGAAUUUCAGGUGUAGCGGUGAAAUGCGUAGAGAUCUGAAGGAAUACCAGUGGCGAAGGCGGCCCCCUGGACAAAGACUGACGCUCAGAUGCGAAAGCGUGGGUAGCAAACAGGAUUAGAUACCCUGGUAGUCCACGCCGUAAACGAUGUCUACUUGGAGGCUGAGGUUUAAGACUUUGGCUUUCGGAGCUAACGCCACU
rnacentral:rRNA from 1 species